GAUGAAGAACGCAGCGAAAUGCGAUACGUAAUGUGAAUUGCAGAAUUCAGUGAAUCAUCGAAUCUUUGAACGCAUAUUGCGCUCUCUGGUAUUCCGGAGAGCAUGCUUGUUUGAGUAUCAGUAAACACCUCAACUUCCAUAUCUUUUUUGAAAUGGGAGUUGGACUUGAGUGAUCCCAACGCUUUUCCUCACCGAAAAGUGGCGGGUUACUUGAAAUGCAGGUGCAGCUGGACUUUUCUCUGAGCUAUAAGCAUAUCUAUUUAGUCUGCCUAAAAAACAGAUUAUUACCUUUGCUGCAGCUAACAUAAAUGAGAUUAGUUCUUGUGCUGACUGAUGCAGGAUUCACAAAGACAGGCUUCGGCCGAAUUUGUAAACUCGAUCUCAAAUAAAGUAAGACUACCCGCUGAACUUAAGCAUAUCAAUAACGGAGGA
rnacentral:misc_RNA from 1 species